UAUUAAUUUAUUUUUAUCGUGCUUUAAUUUUUUCCCCACCUUAUAUUGUUGUUAUCCACCCAGAGUGGCUUGGUUGCCAGAUGGUGUGGGACAUAAAUUCAGAUAAUAAAUAAAUAAAUAUGUGUAUGCAUUUCUGCACUUGCCUUGUACCUGUGAAUUUGACAUCCUUUAUUCUUAACUGAGUUGUAGUUUGGGUUAAGGCUGAGGAGUUAGCCAUAUUACAAUCCAUUAUGCAUUUUGUCCCCUCCCCUUGCACCUGGUUCAACCUAAUUAUUGAUGACUGCAUGAUGUACAGGUACUAAUGAACCUGCGCAAUGCUUGCCCAUGGCUAGCAGCACCUUUUUGGAUCUCUGGCAGGGUCUACUUUUUUUAGUACAGGUAAGAUCACUCCAUUUUAAUUUGGUUUCUGGCAUGUCUUUUACUCUUCAGUAACAGAGUUUCCAGGAGAGCUACAGGAUAGAUGAUAGAGUUACGGAGGAGAGCUACAAGGAGAGCUAAAGAGUGGAUGCUCCUUUGGACAUUUCCAAGCAAAGGAACAUGAUGUAUGCUCAGGAACCUCAAAAGGAUCAGCUGUGAGUGAGAGUUUGAGACGGGGACUGUGCUUGACCAGGCUUUCUGUCACCAAGUUGAACCAUCUGGUGACUGAAGAAUUUGUAAGCUGUGGAAUUCCAGCAGUGGGCAUUUCGCCUUUUGGAACCUGGAAAACAGCAUGCAAGGGUGUCAGCCAGCCUGGCAUUGAUGCAGUGAAAGAUGUUUUAGAAGCAGGUUACGUUCCAGUUUUACACGGUGACUGUGUGCUCGACUCAGAAAGGCACUGCUGCAUCUUAUCUGGAGAUACAAUUGUUGAGGUUCUAGCUAUGAAAUUCUCUCCUAAGCGAGUUAUUUUUCUCACAGAUGUGAGUGGAAUUUAUAGCUGUCCACCCGGCACUGCAGGUGCUAGGCUUGUGGAUUUCAUUACUGUUCGCCCGGAUGGAACUAUGGAUCCAGCCGUACUCACAUCUGUGCGGCCACAUGAUACUACUGGAGGUGUAUCCUUGAAAUUACAAACUGCUGUAAAUAUAGUUUCUCAUAGCCGUGGAGCCAUUCCUGUUCUGAUCUGCAAACUGGACAGUGAAGCAGCAGAGAAGGCUUGCUUAACCGGAGAACUGAAGGAGGAUGAAGGCACAAAGUUUUCUUUCAUAGAAGCAUAA
rnacentral:lncRNA from 1 species